rnacentral:lncRNA from 10 species
GUCCCUUUUGGCUUAAGUUAGCCAGCUUUGGUUCCGUCACUUAACCUAUUGACUUAGCCGUUGUGAAAGUUCCUGGCAGGUAGAAAGAUGGCGGGAGGCAGUGGACAAUGUUAGUGGAGGGGCCUGCCGAAGAGGUGUCUGGGAGAAGAGAAGGCCUGAACUGUGAAUUGAAUAAAACUAAGGGACCUUUUUGGACCAGCAAAAACAAGGCUCAGCAGCAGGAAGAAGGGGAAAUAGGGAUUCCAUAAGCCAAGCAGUUGGCACAUUGAAGUCCCUAAGGGGGCAAGGGAUGUCAAAGAAACAGGACAAGAUGUUGCUCUGUACUUGAGGAUUUGGAAACUGAAAAAAUGAGAAACCGAAAGAGGAAAACAUCCAAGGACUCAGUCAGGACUCCACCAAUGGUCACAGCAAAACAGUACUUUACAGGCACCCCUUAAAAGUGAAACAAAAAUUGUUUCCAGGACACUCUGGACAACAGAAGUCAGUAUUCAUUUACCGUUUCGUUCAUUCAUUCAGCUUCUAUGCAUCUGCUAAGCACCUGCCAUAGGCUGGACAUCGAGCUAGAUGCGGAGAUCACACCACCGUCUCUCCCCACACAUUAUUUGUCAUCCAACAAGGAAGAGGGAUGAGAAGACAAGAUCAUCACAGCCAGAGAAGCAGAUGAAGAGUGGAGGAUUCCUAGAUGGUGUGGAGCUGCACAAUGGAAAGAGCCUGGGUCCUUGAAUGACUACAGACUACAUGGAGCAGAGUAACCCCUGCCACCACCAACAAUUUGCAUUGGUCUGUGAAGCAAAUAAGAGAUAACCUCUUAGUUGGGUUAAACCAAUGAGAUUUGGAUUUGUCUAUGACGGCAGCUAGCAUUACUUGCCCUGACUAAUAUGGUAUUUGAACUAUUGCUACUGCAGCAGAAAACUCUUUCAAUCCUUCAGAAUCUUUUAGUUUUCUUCUGCCUCAGGAUAUAAUGUGAUAUAUCAACACAAGAACAUGCAAAUUUUCAGCCGAGUAGAGGGAUGUGUACCAAUCCACAUCUGGGCUACUGCCUGACAGUGCUGGGAGGACCAUAAGAAGAGAGGUCUGGGAGGACCUGGGCAUGUGACAAAGAACAAAAUGCUGGAAAAGACAAAAUUGUGGCACCAAAAGCAGUUCACAAAGACCAAGUUCAAAAAUGUUGGAAACAACAUGUAGUUCUACCUCUAAGUUAAAGCUCUCUGUGUUUAUUUGGAGAUGAAACCAAAACCUAGGGAGCACUGUGACAGGUGUGAAAAGGCUGCUGUAUUGAAGUAGCACAACCAAGUCAGAUUAUGAAGAGAUGGCAGCCUACAUAGGAAGGGAGCCAAUUAGUCAGGCAAAGCUGGUAUGGAGGGUAGUAACAUUUAGAAUUAAUUUCUCUUCUUUCAUGGCCGGGCACAGUAGCUCACGUCUGUAAUCCCAGCACUUUGGGAUGCCGAGGCAGGCGGAUC